rnacentral:rRNA from 1 species
AACGAACGCUGGCGGCAGGCUUAACACAUGCAAGUUGAACGGUAUUGUUAGGUAGCUUGCUAUUUGACAAGAGAGUAGCGCACUGGUGAGUAACACGUGGGAACGUACAUUGUAGUGGGGAACAACAGAGGGAAACUUCUGCUAAUACCGCAUAAUCCCUGAGGGGGAAAGAUUUAUCGCUAUAAUAUCGGCCGCGGAAGAUUAGGUAGUUGGUGGGGUAAAGGCCUACCAAACCUACGAUCUAUAGCUGGUCUGAGAGGACGAUCAGCCACAUUGGAACUGAGACACGGUCCAGACUCCUACGGGAGGCAGCAGUGAGGAAUAUUGCACAAUGGGCGAAAGCCUGAUGCAGCAACGCCGCGUGAGGGAAGACGGCCUUGGUUGUAACCUACCGUCCUCAGUGACGAAGAAAGUGACGGUAGCUGAGGAGGAAGCCACGGCUAACUACGUG